CGGCUUUGGUUUUUGCUAUCGUCAUGUUUGGACAUCCUCUCCAACUUCUUGCAAACCUACAAUGAUCAUUCCAUACUAUCUAUGAAGCAGCUCUUAAUACUUAUAAAAGUUGGCAUAAACUCAAUAAAAUAAAAAUGUCACAACAUAAUGGGACGGUCAGGUGAAUAUCCCCCAGAAAGGCAAUCCAGUCCCCUACAGAUGAUAAUAAAUUUUGAAAAAGGCAGCAACUCUUUCAUCAAGGAAAUCAGUAAGCCUGCCUGUCCUCAUAUUUGGCUGAAGCUAAUCUCAGCCUCUCUUUCGUCGGAGAUGCUCUAAGCAUUAUCAAUUCUUUCUAUGCUCAUCGGUUCAUCACUUGUAUAGUCAAUAUCACCUAGACAAAGUACAGAAACUAUUCAGUGAAGCAAAGCUACAAGCUGAAAACAAUGGUACAACAGGAUGAAAUUGAGUCCUCAAAAACAGACUUGGCAGCUAUAAGCAAAAAAGUCAGCUCAUCAUUUCGUAUAUUUGCAUCAAGUUCCGGGAGUAGUAGAGAUUCAAGAUCCUUUAGAGAACAAGAGGAUGAAAAUGAGCUGCAAUUGGCUGCUGCUAUUGAGAGACUACCAACAUACAAACAACAUACAACAGCACUGCUUGAUCAAGAUAAUCUAAUUAAUAACAGUAAAGAAGAUGAGGAAACUAGAAAGACGGUGAAGAUUGAUGCCCCCAAACUUGGAGCUCUAGAACGACAUGUGUUUAUCAACAAACUUCUAAAGAAAAUUGAGGAAGAUAAUUACCGGUUGUUAUUCAAACAGAGAGAAAGAAUAGACAGGUUGAAAUUAUUCACUUCUGAUACUUUUCUUCUUGUUACUAAAGAAGGAGGUCUCAAUUAUAUUAUGUAUGAGGUUGAACAGAACUAUCUUUUCUUCUCAGGGUGGGGCUGGAAUUACCUACAGUGGAAGUAAGGUAUCAGAAUUUAUGUAUAGAAGCAGAAUGUGAAGUCGUCCAUGGGAAACCUCUCCCUAGUAUAUGGAACAGCCUCAAAAGUAUUCCCUCUGUAAGUGUGUGCUAAGUUUCAAUGAAAAGUAGUUUUCGUAGUAAUUCUGUAUAAUCAAGCACAUCAUCUUCUAGAACAAAAGUAUUCUACUUGAGAAUCAAAUCUAUACUCCACAACAGCAAGAGAUGAUAGAACUCUAAGCUUAUAUAUCUAAUACUCACAUAGUCCCAAAUGGAGUGUCAUUUUCUCUUUUCAUAUUCCUAUUACCAGUGGUUAAACCUAACUUCAAUGAAUAUCAGUAUUUAAAUUGACUUUAGAAUUUGAAUGUGAAAUUUUAAAAAAAAAAUCUUAAAACGCAUGCUUUAUUUUUUGACUAGUAUUUAAAAUGCAUGUUUCUAUAGUCUAAUUCUCAUUUUAGGAAAAGUGGAGUAUAUAUCCACUUGAAUGCACAUAAAUCGUAACCACCUCAGCAGUUACAUCAACUGAUCAUUGUGCUACCUCAUUCCACACAUUGGCAAUGACAAUUGCCAAACAUUUUGUGAGCCCUAUGGAAACAGCAGUGUUAUUCGCGAAAUUUUUACUCCAACUAAAAAAAAACCUCAAGAAACCAGGAGGGGCGGGGAAGAAGCGCCUAGUUUGCUUUCAUAAAGUACAAACCUAGAUGACCGGAACUUUGCCAAGCAUUUGGUUUAUAUGCUUGUAAAUUUACCAUAAAUUCAGCUGAUAAAUGAAAUUCAAUGAUGAACAGGCGAUCACAAAUAUUAUUUGGAAGAAUUCUCAUGCAUACAAUAUCAAAAUCCUUCAAGACGUCCGAGGCAUCAUCAAGCCUUCAAGGUUACUCAUUUUCUGUUGUCAAAGGGUGAAUACCUUAACUACAAAAAGACUUACACGCAAAAACUUCUUUGGCAGGAUGACGCUGUUACUUGGGCAUC
rnacentral:lncRNA from 1 species